ensembl:lncRNA
CAAAUCAGAGCUACAGCUGCCAGCCUACAUCACAGCUACAGCAACACAGGAUCCUAGACAUGCCUGUGACCUACACCACAGCUCAUGGCAAUGCUGUAUCCUUAACACACUGAGCAAGGCUAGGAAUCAAACCCAAAUCCUCAUGGCUACUAGUCAGGUUCAUUACCACUAUAUACAAGCAAGACAGAAUUAUGAAUCAGUAGCCUAAUUACAGCCUACCUGUAGCUCUCCCCUUCACUGGCUAUUUUUGCUGCUUUCUGUGAAAGCUGUAUGUUUCUUUAUGAAAAAACAUGAAUUGCAGAUUAUUGACACGAAGAUGGGGGUCUGUGUUUUUUCUUCGUUUUCUAAUUUGAAAACUGGAGAUUUGGGGCUUAAGAAAAUUAAGGCAGAUGUGAAAGCUUCAGCUUGAAACUGGUAUCGUGACACCACAUUGGAGAUGUUGGGAAGUGACAGGGAUGCGGGGAUGGGAACUAACACUUAUUCAGAGCCUGACACAGGGAUGGCUCUCUGCUGACAUUAUGCACAUUAGCUCUCUUAGUCCUCACUGCCUGGCAGAUGGAGAAACAGAGACACAAAGCUCAAGUCACUUGCCCAAGGUUACAUGGUAAUAAGAGCAGGACCAGAUUUGUGCUUCAACAUUCUGACAGGAGAGCUGAUUCUAUUAACCAUUAAGCUUUCCUCCUUUGUCAUGCUCUAUAUAGGGGGCAGAGGGUGAAGCAGGCUUCAUUGCAAUAUUUUUUAGCUGCAAAACUCAUGCCUUUACCAUUAGGUCAAGCUGCCUUUCAGCAAUGAAGAAAUAGAGUGAUUGGACAUGAGUAAGAAGAAACAUGAACCAAACUCCUCCUCCAACAUACAUGACCCUAUACCUCAAACUGUUGAGUAUCGCUAAGUCUAAUGUCCCUUGAGGUGCUCUGAAAGGGAAUACAUUUCUACUCAGGAAAACUCUGAACAGCCAAAGUCACUUUCUAAAAGGGAUUUAGAGCAAUUCUCUGGUGGUUCAGUGGGUUAAGGAUCUGAUGUUUUCUCUGCUAUGGCUGGGUCACUGCUGGUGAAGAUUCAAUCCCUGACCUGGGAACUUCCACAUGCCACAGGAAUGCUCCCACCAUUAUUUUUUAAAUUUUAAUUUUAAAAAUAAAAGGGACUUAGUAUGGAUAGAUGUCCAGGUUGCGGGGAGGGUGUUCUUUUCCAGCUCUUCCAUUUAUCAGUUGUGCGACCUUGACUAAGUUAUACAACAUAAAUGAGUUUCAGAUUCUACACAUGAAAGGUGAAUAUACUCAACAUGGUACAGAUACUCAUUUUUAUCAUUAUAGAUACAGGUUUUCAUUUUUUCCCCCAAAGAGUAGAACCCAUUGUUUAAGUGAUCUCUUAAACCCAAACCCAACAUGUGACA